GAUGAAGAACGCAGCGAAAUGCGAUACGUAAUGUGAAUUGCAGAAUUCAGUGAAUCAUCGAAUCUUUGAACGCAUAUUGCGCUCUCUGAUAUUCCGGAGAGCAUGCUUGUUUGAGUAUCAGUAAACACCUCAACUCCCCUUUCUUUUUUUGAAAUGGGAGCUGGACUUGAGUGAUCCCAACGCUUUUCUCACCGAAAAGUGGCGGGUUACUUGAAAUGCAGGUGCAGCUGGACUUUUCUCUGAGCUAAAAGCAUAUCUAUUUAGUCUGCCUAAAAAACAGAUUAUUACCUUUGCUGCAGCUAACAUAAAGGAGAUUAGUUCUUGUGCUGACUGAUGCAGGAUUCACAGAGACAGCUUCGGCUGGCCUUUGUAAACUCGAUCUCAAAUCAAGUAAGACUACCCGCUGAACUUAAGCAUAUCAAUAAGCGGAGGA
rnacentral:misc_RNA from 1 species